rnacentral:rRNA from 1 species
CAUGCAGUCGAACGAUUGCCUUCGGGUGAUAGUGGCGCACGGGUGCGUAACGCGUGGGAAUCUGCCCUUAGGUUCGGAAUAACAGCUGGAAACGGCUGCUAAUACCGGAUGAUAUCGCGAGAUCAAAGAUUUAUCGCCUGAGGAUGAGCCCGCGUUGGAUUAGGUAGUUGGUGGGGUAAAGGCCUACCAAGCCGACGAUCCAUAGCUGGUCUGAGAGGAUGAUCAGCCACACUGGGACUGAGACACGGCCCAGACUCCUACGGGAGGCAGCAGUGGGGAAUAUUGGACAAUGGGCGCAAGCCUGAUCCAGCAAUGCCGCGUGAGUGAUGAAGGCCCUAGGGUUGUAAAGCUCUUUUACCCGGGAAGAUAAUGACUGUACCGGGAGAAUAAGCCCCGGCUAACUCCGUGCCAGCA